UACGUAGGGGGCAAGCGUUGUCCGGAUUUAUUGGGCGUAAAGCGCUCGCAGGUGGUCCGUCGCGUCGUGCGUGAAAGACCCCGGCUCAACUGGGGAGGGUCGUGCGAUACGGGCGGACUGGAGGCCAGUAGGGGGAUGCGGAAUUCCGGGUGUAGUGGUGGAAUGCGUAGAGAUCCGGAGGAACACCAGCGGCGAAGGCGGCAUCCUGGACUGGUCCUGACGCUGAGGCGCGAAAGCUAGGGGAGCAAACGGG
rnacentral:rRNA from 1 species